rnacentral:lncRNA from 1 species
GAGCAAGCGAGAGGAAGAUAACUCAUUCUCCUUAUAGGUUUUUCUGUUAGUCAUUUUAUUGUUUUUCAGGUUAAGAUCACAAUUAUUAAAUGGAUUUUAUACCUGUCCCAUUUCUCUUCCCGAUUAUGAUAUGACAAUUUAGUUCACCCAAAUGUAAAAGAUGUAUGACACUUAAAGAAAAAAGCACCAAUAAAACAAUGAAUAAAUGAAUGAAUGGCUACUAAAUGAGAAAACCGAUUAAGAAAUGAAAAUGACUGUCUCACACACAUCUUGCACAGUGAUCAUGAGCGAAUGGCACUGAUUCUGGUUUAGAGACUGGUCUGCGCUCCGCCAUCAGCUCUAGCAGUCUGCAGUCCCAGUCACUACUCAGAAGCGGGCUGUGCUUGUGGAGUUUGUGCUUGGAGCUGUCUCUCUCUUUGUUGUUGCUGUUUGUUUGUUUAUUAUAACUUUUGUAGGUUUUCAAGCUGCAUUGAGUAGGUGGUUCCUGGAAACUGUUGAUUAUGUUACUAUGGCUACUUGUUCUCAGCACAUUUGACUUUAUUCUCUUUGAUUUUCCAACGUACUGAGCCUUGAAAGGGCAUACUUCUUUCCCGGAUGGUGUGCUGGCACACACCUUUAAUCCCAGCAUUGGGGAGGAGGAGGAGGCAGCUGGAUCUCUGUGAGUUCCAGGACAGCCAAAGCUACAUAAUUGAGAGACCCUGUCACAAAAAGACAAAAAGAAAAGAAAAAAGAAAAGCCUACUGACAAUGGCAGUAUUGAAUUCUUCCACUGAUUGACAGAAAUAGUCUAGGAUAUUGCUUUUUCAUAUUCCAUCUAUUGUUAUUUAUUAAGCAAUAGUGAGGGAAGUUUCUACUAAUGAUAGUACACACACACACUCAUACACACACUCAUACACACACACACACUCAUACAUACUCAUACACACACACUCAUACACACACACUCAUAUAUACACACACACAUACACACACAUACAAAUAAAAUAAAACAACAAGCUGUAAAGAAUUAUUGACUAAGUAAAUGCGUUUAUUUGACUUCCUCCUAAGUGACAUUAAAAUAUAAGAGGCAUAGUGAAGGAAGAACUAGGGACAGGCUGCACAGGAAGCCAGAGCAAACUGCAAGACGUAGGCAGAUACCCAUGGUGGGGUACAAAGCAUGUUUGAUGUUUUCUAUAGAUUGAGAGGGGAGAGCUCACAAUGCCUGAGUAAAAUUCGAGGAAGAACUAGUAUUAACUAGCAUUACUAGUAUUAACUAGCAUUACUGGUAUUAACUAGUAUUAACUAGCAUUACUGGUAUUAACUAGUAUUAACUAGCAUUACUAGUAUUAACUAGUAUUUACUAGCAUUACUAGUAUUAACUAGCAUUACUGGUAUUAACUAGCAUUACUGGUAUUAACUAGCAUUACUAGUAUUAACUAGUAUUUACUAGCAUUACUAGUAUUAACUAGCAUUACUGGUAUUAACUAGCAUUACUGGUAUUAACUAGCAUUACUAGUAUUUAGUAAGGGACUGAAAAAAGAAGAAAGUUAUUUAUUUUCUCCAGAAAAACAGCUCAAUGCACAGCUUACUAUGAAUUCCAUCAUAAUCAUAAAAACGAAUACCUGAUUUUUCAAAUCCAAAUUAAGACUCUGAUUACUCAGCCCCUCUGAUCCGUGUUGACUAUUAGCUCCAACUACCACGUGUGGUUUGUGUGCUGCUGAGGGUGGACCCAGUCCUCCGUCAUUCUUGGCAUGUGCUUUAGUGACUAAACCAUGCCCCCCCCCAAUGGUGUCUGCCCUUUAGCUAUUUGUGUUUGGUUGUGUUUCCCCUCACCCUGGGGGGAAAGGGAGCAGACAGGGUUUUAUGUAGCUUAGCUGGCCUAAUGUACUGUGUACCUGAGGCUAGCCUUCAAAUCCUGUUCUUGCCUCUUCCUCCAUGGUGCUAAGAUCAUAGGUAUACGCCACUAUGCCAGGCUAACACUACACAAUGCGUACACUUAAAACUGCAGUUAAGAUGACAUUUCUGAGCUAGAUAUAGUGUGUCUCAGACCUGUACCCCUAGCACCCAGAUGGCUGAGCCAGAGGGAUUAUCACAAAUUAGAGGUUAGUCUGGGCUACAUAGUAAGACCUAUCUCAAAAAAGC